CACGUAGGGGGCAAGCGUUGUCCGGAAUCAUUGGGCGUAAAGAGCUCGUAGGCGGCUCAGUAAGUCGGGUGUGAAACCCUCAGGCUCAACCUGGGGACGCCACCCGAUACUGCUGUGGCUAGAGUCCAGUAGGGGAGUGUGGAAUUCCCGGUGUGAGCGGUGAAAUGCGCAGAUAUCGGGAGGAACACCAGCGGCGAAGGCGGCACUCUGGGCUGGUACUGACGCUGAGGAGCGAAAGCGUAGGUAGCAAACAGG
rnacentral:rRNA from 1 species